AUGCAAGUCGAGCGGGGGAAGGUAGCUUGCUACCGGACCUAGCGGCGGACGGGUGAGUAAUGCUUAGGAAUCUGCCUAUUAGUGGGGGACAACAUCUCGAAAGGGAUGCUAAUACCGCAUACGUCCUACGGGAGAAAGCAGGGGAUCUUCGGACCUUGCGCUAAUAGAUGAGCCUAAGUCGGAUUAGCUAGUUGGUGGGGUAAAGGCCUACCAAGGCGACGAUCUGUAGCGGGUCUGAGAGGAUGAUCCGCCACACUGGGACUGAGACACGGCCCAGACUCCUACGGGAGGCAGCAGUGGGGAAUAUUGGACAAUGGGGGGAACCCUGAUCCAGCCAUGCCGCGUGUGUGAAGAAGGCCUUAUGGUUGUAAAGCACUUUAAGCGAGGAGGAGGCUACUUUAGUUAAUACCU
rnacentral:rRNA from 1 species